rnacentral:misc_RNA from 1 species
AAUAACAGCAUCUGCUCGAUCUAAUGAAAAUAUUCCACUUCUACUAAGUGAGAAAUGUAAAUUAGCCUUGACUGGGGCAGAAAGAUUCCGUGAUGCAUACUUUUCGCUAGCAUCAGUAAGACCUGACACUGCGUACUGAGCAAAUGUGCGUGAAGUAGUUCCAGGUGGCAAGAAGUCAUCGCUUUCAUACGCUAGUGAAACUUCAAAAUCCUUCUUGUGAACAAUAGAUCUGAACAUCUUGCUAGGCAGUUUCUUCAUACGUGGUAUGGUCAACUGUUUCGUGCUUUCAUCUUUAGGAAGGUCCGGACCAUCUACUUCAAUCACAUAUCCAUAUGGAGAACCAUCAAUCAUUCCCAGUUUACGAUUCAAUUUGAUUCCAUCACUUAUAUUAGCAGCAUGCAAUGAGGCCCCAAGUGCAAUUGCUUCAUCGGAGUCCAAGUGUCUGUCCAGUUCUUUCCUUCCAAGAAAUUCCUGUAGCUUAGCCUGCAAUUUUGGCACCCUAGUGGCACCUCCAAUCAACUCCACUGCAUAAAUAUCUUCAAUUUUCAAACCAGAAUGAGUAAGAACUUCCUUUAAUGGUACAAGAGCUUUUUCCCACAAAUCGGCACAUAACUCUUCAAACUUUUCACGGGUUAUUGAGCUCCUAAAAUCCCGAUCAUCAUAAAUAGAUUCAACUGAAAUUGGAGCUGCUGUGUUUGCACUAAGAAUUUCCUUUGUUCUUUUGACUUGCUUCUUCAACUUUGCCAUUGCCUUUGGAGACUUCCUAAUGUCAACCCCAUUUCCUACCUGUUUAUUGAACUCAUCUGCAAAGUGUUCCACCAAUCUUAGUUCCAUAUGUUCUCCUCCCAGUUCCGCAUUCCAUCUAACAUCCUUGACCUGAAAUUGGUUAGCUGAUACAGUCUUCCCGAACUCCUUAGUGUUAUAAGCAGAGAAAUACACCAAGGCAGCAUAUGUACUACCCGCACCCAUAUCAUAGAAAAUCACAUGCCUUGAACCAUUCGAAAAAUCUUUAUCAAUCCCAUACUGCAACGCUGCA